GCGGAACCAAGCACUGUUUAACCCUAUCACUGGAGGAGGACAUGUUGUCGAUGUGUGAUGUGCGCAAAAGGAUUUUGUCCCGGGAAACAGAAUACUACGUAAGUGUCCGUAUCCAGCGAACAAACUUCCACGAAACUUACCAAGACUACAGAUUCUACGUUUGGUGUCGGUACGAUGAUAUCGUGGACACCUGGCGAGGGGGAGUUGACGUUGGAGAGGCGCUAGGCAUGGCAUCGGAAGGAGAGAACCUCAAGACACAGUUGGUUAUGAGCGCCUACG